rnacentral:rRNA from 1 species
UGGGGAAUAUUGCACAAUGGGCGCAAGCCUGAUGCAGCCAUGCCGCGUGUAUGAAGAAGGCCUUCGGGUUGUAAAUUACUUUCAGCGGGGAGGAAGGGAGUAAAGUUAAUACCUUUGCUCAUUGACGUUACCCGCAGAAGAAGCACCGGCUAACUCCGUGCCAGCAGCCGCGGUAAUACGGAGGGUGCAAGCGUUAAUCGGAAUUACUGGGCGUAAAGCGCACGCAGGCGGUUUGUUAAGUCAGAUGUGAAAUCCCCGGGCUCAACCUGGGAACUGCAUCUGAUACUGGCAAGCUUGAGUCUCGUAGAGGGGGGUAGAAUUCCAGGUGUAGCGGUGAAAUGCGUAGAGAUCUGGAGGAAUACCGGUGGCGAGGGCGGCCCCCUGGACGAAGACUGACGCUCAGGUGCGAAAGCGUGGGGAGCAAACAGG